AAUAACUUGUGGAAAAACUGAGGGUUAAUUAGUGCAAUUCACGGUUAAUUUGGGGCUUUGAGGUUUACAAUUUAUUGAAAGAACAACUGAAAAUCAAUUUAGGUUGCAUAUGUGUCAUGUGUGGAGAAGAACCCUCUAGCUAGUCCGUCACCUAUCCUUUCACCUUAAUUCAUGCUUUUGUCAAUUCUGUAAUUUAUUUAAGUUUAAUUUACUUCUCGUCAAAACCAAACCCUCCCCCCCCCAUUAUUAAAUUAUAUUAUUUAGUUAGUUUUCAUUGUUGCUAGUCUUUUAAUUCAAUUUCCAUCCAUUUCAGUUCCUAGUGUCUAAUUUGAUUGUUUUCAUUAUUUUGAGUCAUUCUAAGUGUGUUUCGAGUUAUU
rnacentral:lncRNA from 1 species